rnacentral:rRNA from 1 species
GCCAUGCACCACCUGUAUACCGACCACAAGGGGGGCACCAUCUCUGAUGCUUUCCGGUAUAUGUCAAGCCUUGGUAAGGUUCUUCGCGUUGCGUCGAAUUAAGCCACAUGCUCCGCUGCUUGUGCGGGCCCCCGUCAAUUCCUUUGAGUUUUAGCCUUGCGGCCGUACUCCCCAGGCGGGGAACUUAAUGCGUUAGCUGCGGCACCGACGACGUGGAAUGUCGCCAACACCUAGUUCCCAACGUUUACGGCGUGGACUACCAGGGUAUCUAAUCCUGUUCGCUCCCCACGCUUUCGCUCCUCAGCGUCAGUAAUGGCCCAGAGAUCCGCCUUCGCCACCGGUGUUCCUCCUGAUAUCUGCGCAUUUCACCGCUACACCAGGAAUUCCGAUCUCCCCUACCACACUCUAGCUAGCCCGUAUCGAAUGCAGACCCGGGGUUAAGCCCCGGGCUUUCACAUCCGACGUGACAAGCCGCCUACGAGCUCUUUACGCCCAAUAAUUCCGGACAACGCUUGCGCCCUACGUAUUACCGCGGCUGCUGGCACGUAGUUAGCCGGCGCUUCUUCUGCAGGUACCGUCACUUUCGCUUCUUCCCUGCUGAAAGAGGUUUACAACCCGAAGGCCGUCAUCCCUCACGCGGCGUCGCUGCAUCAGGCUUUCGCCCAUUGUGCAAUAUUCCCCACUGCUGCCUCCCGUAGAGUCUGGGCCGUGUCUCAGUCCCAGUGUGG